ACUCCUACGGGAGGCAGCAGUGGGGAAUAUUGGACAAUGGGCGGCAAGCCUGAUCCAGCAAUGCCGCGUGUGUGAAGAAGGCCUGAGGGUUGUAAAGCACUUUCAGUGGGGAGGAAGGCCAUUUAGUUAAUAGCUGAGUGGAUUGACGUUACCUACAGAAGAAGCACCGGCUAACUCCGUGCCAGCAGCCGCGGUAAUACGGAGGGUGCAAGCGUUAAUCGGAAUUACUGGGCGUAAAGCGCGCGUAGGCGGUUUGUUAAGUUGGCUGUGAAAGCCCCGGGGCUUAACCUGGGAAGGCCAGUCAAAACUAAUAAACUAGAGUACAGUAGAGGAGUGUGGAAAGUUUCCGGUGUAGCGGUGAAAUGCGUAGAGAUCGGAAGGAACACCAGUGGCGAAAGGCGGCACUCUGGACUGAUACUGACGCUGAGUGCGAAAGCGUGGGAGCAAACAGGAUUAGAUA
rnacentral:rRNA from 1 species